GUCUGUGCCCGAUCUCGUCUGAUCUCGGAAGCUAAGC
rnacentral:rRNA from 1 species